UCUCUAGAGUUACGGCAGAGGCUCUAGGCGUGACAGGAGGGAAUGCUGUGGCUUGGAUCCGUGGAUGAAGAAGACUCAGACGACCACUCGUGUUUAUGGACUCCUGGGAACAAGGGGCAACGGACUGGCGAUGAAUACUGGUCCAGGGGCUCCUUAAGAAGACAGGCAGGUGAUGAGUCUGACCUUGAGGUGAAUUUGGGACCUUCGCUCUUGAGGCCGUCUGCAGACAUGGGAGUCCUUUUGUCUGUAAGUGAAUUUUCAUUUGCAGAGUCAAACUUCAGAACUGUAGAUAUUAUUUAUGCCCUCUUUGUAAGAUAAAUGUGCAUCGACAGCUUUUCCCUUUGGCCUGACUCAGUCGGACUCACAGCGUUUUAUGAACACAGAGCUAUUUAUUUUCCGUUUUUUAUGACACAAAAUAAACAAAAAAAUGGUUUUAAAUGAAAUACAUCAGGUGAUAAUUCUUAUUUAGUACUGAGGAUGCUGAAAAAUACGACUUAAAGUGCAAGAAAUUAAUUGUUUUU